rnacentral:lncRNA from 1 species
UAACAGUCAUAGGUGACUGUAGCCUUUCUUUAACAAACACCUGCAAACUAAAUCUUGGUUGUUUGAAGACUAAAAGUAUACCUAGUUAGUAACAUGAAAUAAAUAUAUAAAAAGUCGGGUGAAAAUACAGCAAGGAAAAGGCAUUAACAUUUGCAGAAACUUCUGCUGAAAUUCAGCGCAACCAAAAGCACUAAAUCAAAAAAUAAAUUGCCAUAAGAAGGUUCAGUUUGGUACGGGCUAAUCUUAAAAAAAAAAAAGGGUUCCGACAGCGAUCUCAAUGGCGGUAAGAAUCAAAAGGUAACCACUGAAAAUAACGAGUGCACACACAAAAUAUCACAAUUCGUCUUUCUAAUUCAACUACAUCCUUAAAAAGAGAAUGCGAGCUUCAAUGCCCACAAAACCCACAAAGAUUUGAAAAAAUAACAACAAGCUCAAGAGACCCAACGAAAACAACAGAAGUGUAAUGGUCAUCGAUUUGAUCACCUUCUUCAAUAGGGGAGGGACGGAUCUAGUGGAGGGAUCUGAU